rnacentral:rRNA from 1 species
CCUACGGGAGGCAGCAGUGAGGAAUAUUGGUCAAUGGACGAGAGUCUGAACCAGCCAAGUAGCGUGAAGGAUGACUGCCCUAUGGGUUGUGAACUUCUUUUAUAUGGGAAUAAAACGUUCCACGUGUGGGAUUUUGUAUGUACCAUAUGAAUAAGGAUCGGCUAACUCCGUGCCAGCAGCCGCGGUAAUACGAAGGAUCCGAGCGUUAUCCGGAUUUAUUGGGUUUAAAGGGAGCGUAGGUGGAUUGUUAAGUCAGUUGUGAAAGUUUGCAGCUCAACCGUAAAAUUGCAGUUGAAACUGGCAGUCUUGAGUACAGUAGAGGUGGGCGGAAUUCGUGGUGUAGCGGUGAAAUGCUUAGAUAUCACGAAGAACUCCGAUUGCGAAGGCAGUUCACUGGACUGCAACUGACACUGAGGCUCGAAAGUGUGGGUAUCAAACAGGAUUAGAUACCCCGGUAGUC